rnacentral:tRNA from 1 species
UGGCAUGUAGCUCAAUGGUAGAGCGUUCGGCUGUUAACCGAAAAGAUGCGGGUUCAAGUCCUGCCGUGCCAGCCA